CAGGCCACCGCAGUGGCUGAGGAAAGCUAGGAACAUAGCUCUCCUGGAGGCGCCAGAGCUGGACUCGAAGGGGAACAAGAUAAUAUGACACCCCCAGCUUAUUAUGAAAACAGCCUGUGAGCCUUGCCUGGGGAGGCGCUCAAGAUGACGUGCCUUCCAAAUCCAAGCCGAAGUCGGCCGCGAAGAAGGCCGCUCUAAGACGCCCCCGCCGUGCCUCAAGUCUGGCUGUGAGCCUGGCUUGAGGCAUUAGUGAGGCUCUGAAGUUGAUGUGCCUUCCAAAGU